GUUAUUUUGGCAGAAUAGUGCAAUUGAUUUAGAAUCAUUAUAUGUAAUUACUUAAGUUUACAGGUAACA
rnacentral:tRNA from 1 species